rnacentral:rRNA from 1 species
ACUCAAAGGAAUAGACGGGGACCCGCACAACCUGUGGAGCGUGUGGUUCAAUUCGAGACGAAACGAAGGACCUCACCAGGGCUUGACAUGCUACCGUUUAUUCUUUCAGAAAUGAGAGGAAAUCCGCAAGGAUGGUAGCACAGGUGCUGCAUGGCUGUCGUCAGCUCGUGCCGUGAGGUGUUCCCUUAAGUGGGGAAACGAGCGCAACCCCCAUCUAAUGUUACAUUAUUCAUUAGAAACUGCCCCGAUUUAAUCGGGGAGGAAGGAGGGGUAGACGUCAAGUCAGCACGGCCCUUAUGCCCUGGGCCACACACACACUACAAUGGCGAAAAACAACGAGCCGCAAGCCAGCGAUGGCAAGCAAAUCUCUCAAAUUUCGCCUCAGUUCAGAUUGGAGUCUGAAACCCGACUCCAUGAAGCCGGAAUAGGUAGUAAUCGCGGAUCAGCAAGCCGCGGUGAAUACGUUCUCGGGUCUUGUACACACCGCCCGU